rnacentral:tRNA from 1 species
UCCCUGGUGGUCCAGUGGCUAAGACUCUGUACUCCUAGUGUAGAAGGCUCAGGUUCGAUCCCUGGUCAGGGAA